UUAAAGGGCUGCAGUAUAUUGACUGUACAAAGGUAGCAUAAUAAUUAGUCUUUUAAUUGAAGACUUGUAUGAAAGAUUUGAUGAGAUAUAAACUGUCUCUUUUUUAUAAUUAGAAUUUAAUUUUUCAGUAAAAAAGCUGAAAUUAGUUUAAAAGACGAGAAGACCCUAUAGAGUUUUAUAAUUAAUUUAAUUACAUAUUUAUAUUUAAUUUUAAAGUUAAUUAAUUUAAUUAUUUUAUUGGGGUGAUAGAAAAAUUAAACUAACUUUUUUUAAAUAUUAAACAUUGAUUGAUGGUUAUAUGAUCCAUAAUUUAUGAUUACAAGAAAAAAUUACCUUAGGGAUAACAGCGGAAUUUUUUUUUUU
rnacentral:rRNA from 1 species